UGCACUGCAAGGGAAUGAAGCCAAUGCGAAGGCCCAGAGGGAAGGGAAGCGUUGUCAGAGUCUGGUGGAGAAGACACAAGAAUUUGGAGACAGCAGAGGAUACAGAGAGUCAGCCAAAUAAACUGGUUGGAUCACCUGUUCCAGUGCUUCCUACCACCAUACAGAACCUUCAUAAAUACCACUCAAAGAAGGCUCACUAUCAAUACUGUUGGUCCGUUUUCUCUGGAGGAGAAUGUGUCUCUGCUGGCUAAGGCUUUCUUUAUCUCGUCCCACUCUACUACAGCCUGCAGACCCACCCAAGACUGAGGGUGCUCAAAGCUCAGAAGGCAAAGGACUCCUUGCCACUCAACAGUAUCAGCUCAACACCUCAGCCAAGAAGAAUCAGGGAGCACAGGCACACACUCACCAUGCUGAACAGACAGCGA
rnacentral:lncRNA from 1 species